CGGGCGGACGGGUGAGUAACGCGUGGGUAACCUACCCUGUACACACGGAUAACAUACCGAAAGGUAUGCUAAUACGGGAUAAUAUAUUUGAGAGGCAUCUCUUGAAUAUCAAAGGUGAGCCAGUACAGGAUGGACCCGCGUCUGAUUAGCUAGUUGGUAAGGUAACGGCUUACCAAGGCGACGAUCAGUAGCCGACCUGAGAGGGUGAUCGGCCACAUUGGGACUGAGACACGGCCCAA
rnacentral:rRNA from 1 species